CUACAACCACCAUCCUACACAUGAAAUAAUAUAAAACAAGUAAAAAUGAACAUGAUCGCGAAGAUUUAGUAACAAAUAAGCAUGAAUUAGAUAUUAAAUCGCGUAUAUAAAAUAAACUUAUCAAAAUCCCCCAAAACCGUGCUAGUCCUCGAGCACCAAAACAACUACAUGCAAUGCAAUGAGAAGAAAUGAAUACUACCUAACUUAUAUACUUUCAAAUCCAACAAUAUCGUAGAGUCAAGAUUACUUAACGACCUCAGCGAAAAUAAGCAACUAUACAUUAUCAACCAUCAAAAACCAAUCUACAAUUACGCUUUAAUCCUCGAAUCUCAAGCCAUCAUCACUGGAACAGUG
rnacentral:lncRNA from 1 species